rnacentral:rRNA from 1 species
UACGGGGGGGGCAAGCGUUGUUCGGAAUUACUGGGCGUAAAGGGUCUGUAGGUGGCCAACUAAGUCAGACGUGAAAUCCCUCAGCUUAACUGGGGAACUGCGUCUGAGACUGGAUGGCUCGAGUGCAGGAGAGGAAUGCGGAAUUCCAGGUGUAGCGGUGAAAUGCGUUGAUAUCGGAAGGAACGCCGGUGGCGAAAGCGACGUGCUGGACCACUACUGACGCUGAGGCGCGAAAGCCAGGGGAGCAAACGGG